rnacentral:misc_RNA from 1 species
AAUAAAUUGAAGAUUGUUGUUUCUUUAUCAUGUCCAUAUGAUUGAAAUUGCAUACUAAAGGUUUAUAAAAGACGAGUGAAGAAAUCUACAAUAUUCUGAUUGAGUAUAAUUACUAUUUGGUCUUUCUGACACAGAGAGAAUAUCCACUGUGCCGAAGGUAUGAUACCCAAAUCCAUAGAAACCCUUUAUCAAAUUAUCCUUUGAAAUAUGUGCGAACUAAAUGUAGAUAGACCUAUAAAUUUAUUAUAUACUUUUUUAUUACAAGCUUGUUCUAUUCGUUCUUUUAUAUUAUUAUUAUUAUUAUUAGUA